rnacentral:rRNA from 1 species
UUAAGCGACUAAGCGUACACGGUGGAUGCCCUGGCAGUCAGAGGCGAUGAAGGACGUGCUAAUCUGCGAUAAGCGUCGGUAAGGUGAUAUGAACCGUUAUAACCGGCGAUUUCCGAAUGGGGAAACCCAGUGUGUUUCGACACACUAUCAUUAACUGAAUCCAUAGGUUAAUGAGGCGAACCGGGGGAACUGAAACAUCUAAGUACCCCGAGGAAAAGAAAUCAACCGAGAUUCCCCCAGUAGCGGCGAGCGAACGGGGAGCAGCCCAGAGCCUGAAUCAGUGUGUGUGUUAGUGGAAGCGUCUGGAAAGGCGCGCGAUACAGGGUGACAGCCCCGUACACAAAAAUGCACAUAUUGUGAGCUCGAUGAGUAGGGCGGGACACGUGGUAUCCUGUCUGAAUAUGGGGGGACCAUCCUCCAAGGCUAAAUACUCCUGACUGACCGAUAGUGAACCAGUACCGUGAGGGAAAGGCGAAAAGAACCCCGGCGAGGGGAGUGAAAAAGAACCUGAAACCGUGUACGUACAAGCAGUGGGAGCCUCUUUUAUGGGGUGACUGCGUACCUUUUGUAUAAUGGGUCAGCGACUUAUAUUCUGUAGCAAGGUUAACCGAAUAGGGGAGCCGAAGGGAAACCGAGUCUUAACUGGGCGUUAAGUUGCAGGGUAUAGACCCGAAACCCGGUGAUCUAGCCAUGGGCAGGUUGAAGGUUGGGUAACACUAACUGGAGGACCGAACCGACUAAUGUUGAAAAAUUAGCGGAUGACUUGUGGCUGGGGGUGAAAGGCCAAUCAAACCGGGAGAUAGCUGGUUCUCCCCGAAAGCUAUUUAGGUAGCGCCUCGUGAAUUCAUCUCCGGGGGUAGAGCACUGUUUCGGCAAGGGGGUCAUCCCGACUUACCAACCCGAUGCAAACUGCGAAUACCGGAGAAUGUUAUCACGGGAGACACACGGCGGGUGCUAACGUCCGUCGUGAAGAGGGAAACAACCCAGACCGCCAGCUAAGGUCCCAAAGUCAUGGUUAAGUGGGAAACGAUGUGGGAAGGCCCAGACAGCCAGGAUGUUGGCUUAGAAGCAGCCAUCAUUUAAAGAAAGCGUAAUAGCUCACUGGUCGAGUCGGCCUGCGCGGAAGAUGUAACGGGGCUAAACCAUGCACCGAAGCUGCGGCAGCGACACUAUGUGUUGUUGGGUAGGGGAGCGUUCUGUAAGCCUGUGAAGGUGUGCUGUGAGGCAUGCUGGAGGUAUCAGAAGUGCGAAUGCUGACAUAAGUAACGAUAAAGCGGGUGAAAAGCCCGCUCGCCGGAAGACCAAGGGUUCCUGUCCAACGUUAAUCGGGGCAGGGUGAGUCGACCCCUAAGGCGAGGCCGAAAGGCGUAGUCGAUGGGAAACAGGUUAAUAUUCCUGUACUUGGUGUUACUGCGAAGGGGGGACGGAGAAGGCUAUGUUGGCCGGGCGACGGUUGUCCCGGUUUAAGCGUGUAGGCUGGUUUUCCAGGCAAAUCCGGAAAAUCAAGGCUGAGGCGUGAUGACGAGGCACUACGGUGCUGAAGCAACAAAUGCCCUGCUUCCAGGAAAAGCCUCUAAGCAUCAGGUAACAUCAAAUCGUACCCCAAACCGACACAGGUGGUCAGGUAGAGAAUACCAAGGCGCUUGAGAGAACUCGGGUGAAGGAACUAGGCAAAAUGGUGCCGUAACUUCGGGAGAAGGCACGCUGAUAUGUAGGUGAAGUCCCUCGCGGAUGGAGCUGAAAUCAGUCGAAGAUACCAGCUGGCUGCAACUGUUUAUUAAAAACACAGCACUGUGCAAACACGAAAGUGGACGUAUACGGUGUGACGCCUGCCCGGUGCCGGAAGGUUAAUUGAUGGGGUUAGCGCAAGCGAAGCUCUUGAUCGAAGCCCCGGUAAACGGCGGCCGUAACUAUAACGGUCCUAAGGUAGCGAAAUUCCUUGUCGGGUAAGUUCCGACCUGCACGAAUGGCGUAAUGAUGGCCAGGCUGUCUCCACCCGAGACUCAGUGAAAUUGAACUCGCUGUGAAGAUGCAGUGUACCCGCGGCAAGACGGAAAGACCCCGUGAACCUUUACUAUAGCUUGACACUGAACAUUGAGCCUUGAUGUGUAGGAUAGGUGGGAGGCUUAGAAGUGUGGACGCCAGUCUGCAUGGAGCCGACCUUGAAAUACCACCCUUUAAUGUUUGAUGUUCUAACGUUGACCCGUAAUCCGGGUUGCGGACAGUGUCUGGUGGGUAGUUUGACUGGGGCGGUCUCCUCCUAAAGAGUAACGGAGGAGCACGAAGGUUGGCUAAUCCUGGUCGGACAUCAGGAGGUUAGUGCAAUGGCAUAAGCCAGCUUGACUGCGAGCGUGACGGCGCGAGCAGGUGCGAAAGCAGGUCAUAGUGAUCCGGUGGUUCUGAAUGGAAGGGCCAUCGCUCAACGGAUAAAAGGUACUCCGGGGAUAACAGGCUGAUACCGCCCAAGAGUUCAUAUCGACGGCGGUGUUUGGCACCUCGAUGUCGGCUCAUCACAUCCUGGGGCUGAAGUAGGUCCCAAGGGUAUGGCUGUUCGCCAUUUAAAGUGGUACGCGAGCUGGGUUUAGAACGUCGUGAGACAGUUCGGUCCCUAUCUGCCGUGGGCGCUGGAGAACUGAGGGGGGCUGCUCCUAGUACGAGAGGACCGGAGUGGACGCAUCACUGGUGUUCGGGUUGUCAUGCCAAUGGCACUGCCCGGUAGCUAAAUGCGGAAGAGAUAAGUGCUGAAAGCAUCUAAGCACGAAACUUGCCCCGAGAUGAGUUCUCCCUGACUCCUUGAGAGUCCUGAAGGAACGUUGAAGACGACGACGUUGAUAGGCCGGGUGUGUAAGCGCAGCGAUGCGUUGAGCUAACCGGUACUAAUGAACCGUGAGGCUUAACCUU